AAAGAUCUUCAUGCAGGAACACAAACAGUACACGAUACAGAGACUCAGCUCCUACAAGCUCCGUUCUAUGCUGGCACUGUAAUAGAAAAACUGUUUGGAGAAUGCUCACGAAAUAUGGUACAUCGAGUCUAGAAAUCAAACAUACUCUCUCCUUUACAGUGCCUGUCAGUGAGUCUGUAUAACAAUUCCAUUUGCAGUAGAUUUAUACUCACUGCUUGAAAACAAAUACACUUCAGAUGAAUGAACUGAAAAAGGCUCAGACAGCAUGGAAAAAGAGACCAGGGUAUCAUAGUUCAGCUUCAUGUGCUUCAUACUUUCAGUAAGUUCUUUGUUAAAUUUGUUCAUUCCAACUGAAUUACAACUUAUUGCAAAUCUUCCUUCUAUGUUGAAUGUAACCUUUCCAAUGGAUAAAAUGAAACAUAACCCCCUUUUAAGACAUUUCCAUACCUAAAAGCCCAGAAAGGUAAGCUUACAACUGAAUAAAAUCAAUCCAAACCAUUUUACAUUGGUCUACUUUGGUCAUUAUUCAAACCAGCCAUAUUUGUUGUAACUUCCCACAGUCUCUUGGCAACAGCAGAAUCAUAUUCCAUUUUCAGUUAACAAAAAUUACGGUUAUGAAAGAAAACCCCUGAUUUCCCGUCUAGCUCUUCUGAUGUGGCGCAGUAAAGAGUUGUUUGUGCUCCCUGAAAGAAUCAAGUUAAAUCAGGUUAGUGUUUUGUUUGUAUUUUAACAAAACACAGUCUUCAAUUUACAACACUGCAAAUGAGGUUGGAAAAUGACUCCUGAGUUUAUCGGGGAGUCCAACUGGCUUAGGCAGCAUGGCAGUGUCGUGAAAUGGAAACCUUGUAUAAAUAUGCCAUUACAUCUAGAAGAUUUUGAAAUGAGUGUUGUUUUCAUAUGUCAGAAGUAAGUCCCCAUCACUAAGAUGCAAUGUUUUAAGAAACCAAAAUUAAUUUUCAUCAUGUGCAAUUAUACAAAAAUAAAGGAAAUAUUUCCAAAGAGCAAUAUUUUUCUACUUACCAGUAAGGUAAAUGUUUAAAGCUUUGUAAAAAUUUAAUUCAAUAACAAAGUGACACAGUUUUUCCGAAUUUCAGUUUAUAGUGCUUUAGUUCAGCAAAGAGAUACCAACGUAAAAAUAAUGACAUUAAAUUUACAACUGCUUAAGUUAUGUGAAGUCAGGCUCUGAGUCACAUCAUUCACAUAAAUCUGACUUAUGGAUUUAUGAUGUUUAAAGAUAAAUUAAAAUAUUAAGACACUUUGUAUGAGUAUAAAUGGUUACAUUGGACAUAACCUAGUAUUAUUUUUGGUGCAAGGAAUGUUUACCUGGACAAUCUGAGUUCAAAUCCCGACUUGCUAACCACAUGCUUAACAGAUGGACUAGUCAUAUGCUAGUACAAAUGCAGGUCAUUUCAAGUCCUAAAUGGCCAUUCAUAUGGUCAACCAAGUUACAAAGCCCCCAUUAUAUGCUGCAGUCCAUGGAAGGCUCACUGUAGUAUUAAUAGCAGUGGAAGACAAGCACAUUAUUAAUCAAAGCUUAAACCAAGAUUUCUAACAAUAAACACGUGAUGUCAAGCGAUGAA